CAGCACCUCAAGUGGUCAGGAUGAUUAUUGGGCCUAAAGCAUCCGUAGCCGGCGCUGUAAGUUUUCGGUUAAAUCUGUACGCUCAACGUACAGGCUGCCGGGAAUACUGCAGCGCUAGGGAGUGGGAGAGGUAGACGGUACUCGGUAGGAAGGGGUAAAAUCCUUUGAUCUAUUGAUGACCACCUGUGGCGAAGGCGGUCUACCAGAACACGUCCGACGGUGAGGGACGAAAGCUGGGGGAGCAAACCGGAUUAGAUACCCGAGUAGUCC
rnacentral:rRNA from 1 species